rnacentral:rRNA from 1 species
CCCCCUAACCAUAANNCNCCCCUGGGAGACGCCCCAAGGUGAANUCAANGAAUGACGGGGNCCCACAAGGGNGGAGCNUUGUUUAAUUCGAAGCAACGCGNAGAACCUUACCAGUCUUGACAUCCCUCUGACCGCUCUAGAGAUAGAGCUUUNCUUCGGNACAGAGGUGACAGGUGGUGCAUGGUUGUCGUCAGCUCGUGUCGUGAGAUGUUGGGUUAAGUCCCGCAACGAGCGCAACCCCUAUUGUUAGUUGCCAUCAUUCAGUUGGGCACUCUAGCGAGACUGCCGGUAAUAAACCGGAGGAAGGUGGGGAUGACGUCAAAUCAUCAUGCCCCUUAUGACCUGGGCUACACACGUGCUACAAUGGCUGGUACAACGAGUCGCAAGCCGGUGACGGCAAGCUAAUCUCUUAAAGCCAGUCUCAGUUCGGAUUGUAGGCUGCAACUCGCCUACAUGAAGUCGGAAUCGCUNGUAUUNUUNGGAUCCAGCACGCCGCGGUGAAUACGUUCCCGGGCCUUGUACACACCGCCCGUCACACCACGAGAGUUUGUAACACCCGAAGUCGGUGAAGUACAUGUNNGNNGCNAGAAUUCGAUNGNUUGANANGUNANNACUUNNUNANCCAUGAUCAAACUCUA